rnacentral:misc_RNA from 1 species
CCGCGCGCGGCGGCGCGAGCAGCCUUGCGGCGGCCGGCGCUGCGUUUUAUCAUCCGCGAUUAGAUAAAGCGAAAUCGCUGCUGCGCUCCGCGGGCCGAGCGCUUGCAGUGCCCGCACGAGCGGCGCGCGCGCAGCCCGUCGCCGCCGGCGGUGGGUAAGAGGCACCUCCUCGACGAGAUGUGUCCGCAGUGCACAGCUCUGUGCCCCAGCGAUGACGGAAAAUUACGAUUCCGUCCGACAAGUGUGAGGAUGAUAAAGGAAGACGAAAGUGUAAACAUUAGGGCGCGGGCGCGGGCGCGGACAGCGGGCGCGCGUUCGGCUACGCCCCGCCGUCGCCCGGCGCCGCGGCGCGCAGCUACCAGGAGCUGCGGCCGGCGCGCUACGAGGCCGAGGCGUACGCGCGCCGCAGCCCGCGCAGCGCCUCGCCCGACGACUACCGCGCGCUGCCCUACGACGCGUACGCGCCGCCGCCCUACGGCGACCACCUGCACCCCGCCGACGGGUGAGUGCCGCAUUACUUCAUACCUAGGGGAAAACCGGGACAGAGGCGCCAUGUUAUAGCACAGACUAGCGGACGCCCGCGACGUCGUCCGCGUCUAAUUCAGUUUACACAAUUCCCUCGUAAGCUAUUGAUUUUCUCGGGAUAAAAACUAACCAAACCCAUACACAUAUUUCUCAAUCAUCCUCUAUCUUCCAGUGAAAGUCCCGUUAUAACCGGUGUAGCCGUUUACUCAUGACGCUAAAUAAUAAUAAAUGAUAAAUAUUUAAUAAAUUCGCUUCAUGCCCUAAGGUAAGGUAAUGUAUGAAAAAUGGUCGGUGUUAGUUUUGAUCUAUCAAAAUCUAUCAAUUGAAUGCUUUACCUAUUAUGUUUACGUGAUUAAGUAUCUACGAUGUACCGUAUGUACCGUAUGAUUACCGUUAGAUAUCUUAACGAUCCACUAAUGCACUAGCGCGGCGUGACGUCGCCGCAUGUAGAGGAGGUCGCAACUCGCAGCACCGAUCGGUACCUACCUCCCGCCCGCGCCGCCCGCGCCGCGCGCGCUGCAGUGUGUGCUGUGUGCACUCAGUCAUUAUUGUUAUUGUCCUCCAAGGGCCAAACAAUGCAUUCGGAUCGUUAGCGGCGAUUAGCGAGCGCUUGUUUACUCCGCCGUAGGUACUCGGUCAGCCACGUACCUACGUACAAACAGUCCUUCAAGAGUGACUCAUGUCAUUAGCUUGUUUGGGGAUGUAUUAUGGUGUUACACACACCAUGCUGCGACUGACGUGCGAGGUUCCGUGAACUUCAAGCGCUGCAGCUCUGGUGUAUCAAUGAGACCACUCAAAAUGUUGGCCAGAAAAAUGACAUCUGCAAUUUUUCAGCGUUCCAUGAGUGAUCUUAUUUUGUAAUGCGCAUGUCGAGACUUGUAACAGCAGCCCCAAUCCCGAUAUCUUCGAUGCCUUUGUUGUACUGUUUUCGACAUGUUCAUAAAGUACAUAACUUUGAAUCUACAAUAACCCCUAAACCACUAAUACUAGAAACUUCUUUCGAGUGCAAAAUUAUUAAUUUUAUAAACAUAAUUAGUUGCUGUUUUAAAACAUUUAUCUUUAUUCAAAAGCUCGCCGUUUUCAGUGCAGGGGGUAUAAAUCAUAUCGAUAUCGCCUGGUCGUCUCUACAUCAGCUUGGCUGUUGCUCAAAUAAUAGUUUGUAGUUAAUAGUAGGUAGGUAGUUAGUUGUAGUUAGUAGUAUUUUGUAUUUUUUUUAUAUCAUCUGCGAACAUUUUAUUUAACCAAAUCGAUUAUAAAAAUUAAAAAAAGAAGGACCGAGAUGUGACCCAUGCCUGGUGGUAUUUUACUUUUGUGUAAGAUUUAUAACCAUUGACAGCAACAAUUUGCGAUCGAUAAACUCGCACCACCGUGAUAAUGAACCAUGAAUACCCAUGUACUUAAUUUUUGAAAUUAAAACACUGAGGUUAACCAUAUCAAAAGCUUUGCGAAAGUCCUAAGAAAAUUGCAUGAAGGUACCUCCGCCGUAGUGUCAACUGUUUUAGCAACAUUGGAUAUGUAUAUAAGUAUAUGUUACUAAGUAUAUGUUAGUGUUA